CAAGGAAGCGCUGCCUUCGCUCAUCUGGAUCAUCGUCUGCUGUCCGCCGUCGACGCCCACCUGUGGGCUGUGCUGGAGAUACCUGGAGAGAAGAGGGCAUGGGUUCAGCAUGAAACAAGAGGCAGAAGAGGAGGAGGGGGGUCUUGGUUGCUGUCUGACAUCCCCGAUAGCGAUUCGGGGCUUCCUGGAGGCGAGGAAUCAACCUCCACAGGCUCCUCCUCCUUCACCUUCACAUCUGAUGGCGUCUGCAGGCUCAUGUCCAAAGCCACAGAGUUGGCAGCUGGAAGCUGGACAGAGACGACAAAAUAAAAGCUUUUAACAAAACAAACUGCCAUUUAUCCGGGUAGCACAACAGCCCCCAUAUUUAUUUCAACACUCAGUUAUUUUAAUAAAGUCAUUUUGACAAGUUGCAGCAAUUGUUGAAAUUCUCAUCUGGUAUUAGGUGUGCAAGGCAGGAAUUUCAAGCACUAUUUUUUAUUGUAUUUAAUCAGCACUUCGGGUGAGAAAAGGAGGAAGUAAGAAAAGUCACAUCUACAGAGCAAAAGCUGAAAACUUCCCUGGUUUCUGAACACAUUUAUACAUAGAAAUAUGCUUAUGAACACAAUGUUAUCACCCCAACCCCCCCUCGAGCUUUCUUACAGAGUUCUUUGCCCUCUUUUCGUCAUCGUCUUGGUCAAAAGAGCUGGCCAACUCAUUAAACAGACCAACUUCCUCACAGUUCUUAAGGAAGCGAGUGGGUGUAGGUGUCUGGUCUGAGGAGAACAAAGCCAUGACAACAAGAAGAUGAAAAUCUAAAGCCACGCUUUUGCACUUUUUUCACACUUUGCAUUCAGAAUAGAAAGAGCCAUGUAGCUGAUGCUAAAGUACGAUAGGAGGGAGCAUCCAACAGCAUGGCGGACGGAGCAGUACCUGCUAUAAUGACAGAGUCUGUCCUGGGUGGUCCAAAUUUUAAUGUCAUCUCAUGUUUGUGUUUGUGUACUGCCAAAUGGUCCUCGUUGGUGAACCUCUGGAGAAAAACAACAAGAAAAUAAAGAACAAGUUAUUAUUUAGACAGCAGGUACAAUGCAUUAAUGAGAAAUGAAUGUAGUACAGAAGUCAUAAUUAACAAAAUAAAACAAAAAAACUGCAAAAAAAAGUUUCUUAAUUAGCAUUAAAUCAAAAUAUAAUGAAUAUUGGAUCUCAAAUGAGGUAACUCAGAAAAACCUUCAAAGCAAAAAGUAUGCCUUCCUGUUGUGCAUAUAACAAAAGGAUGUUGUACAAUGCAGAUUUGCUUUAAUCUAUAAUGUGAGAGUCAAAACAACUUUUGAAAAGACUAAAGGAAAUGUUUUUUUUUUAAAAAAAAGGCCCAGAUCGCCAUUUUUCUGAGACAUUUUCAGUGAGAAGCUAAAUUGUGAUUUACUCAGAGACAUAGCGGCUAUAAGCACAACACCAUUCACAGCAGCCUAUUUUAGUCAGGAGAGUGAAGUGGAAACAGUCAAGUGUCAGGAGCCUUAUUUUUAGCGUUGGCAAAAAAAAAAAUACAACUACAUGUGGCAUCCGUCUCUUUCCUCAGAUCAAGGCAACUAGAUCUUGUGAGGGAAACUAUCUCCAACUAAUCUCCCCUUCUCAGAUAAUGGUAGCUAGGAUUACACAACCACAAACGGUAAAUACUGGCCAUCGUGUUUAUGUUGUUGAUGUUGACUUGGUAAAAGGAAAAUCCCGGGCAAAGUCAAUCAUUCCGUUCUAUUGUGGGCUUUAAUUGCUCUUCUGGUAGGCAACCGUUGCUUUUAAAGGGCGGCAGGAAAAACUCAAUAAAUUAAUAAGUAAAUAUUUUUGAAUUGGUACCAGAAAUCAAAUACAUCAUUUUGAAUAGAAUAAUAUUAUAAAUUCCUCCAACUACAAAACACAUUUAUAAAGUUUUGCUUUCAUGCUAUUUAUGUCCAAUUAUUAAAAGAAAAAAAA